GAGUAACGCGUGGGUAACCUGCCUCAUACAGGGGGAUAACAGUUAGAAAUGACCGCUAAUACCGCAUAAGCGCACAGGACCGCAUGGUCAAGUGUGAAAAACUGAGGUGGUAUGAGAUGGACCCGCGUCUGAUUAGCUAGUUGGUGAGGUAAGGGCUCACCAAGGCAACGAUCAGUAGCCGACCUGAGAGGGUGACCGGCCACAUUGGGACUGAGACACGGCCCAG
rnacentral:rRNA from 1 species